CUGGUGCCAGCAGCCGCGGUAAUUCCAGCUCUAAUAGCGUAUAUUAAAGUUGUUGCAGUUAAAAAGCUCGUAGUUGGAUUUCGGCGUGCGCUCAGGCUGGUCGGCCGUCAAGGUCUGUACCGUUUGGGUCACGCCCCACUGUAGGAUACUCACCGCUGUCCUUAACUGGGUGGCGGUCAAAGGGGGUGUGCAUGGGGGCAACUCUGUGCAUAUCUCUGGGGUUCCUACUCUUUUACUUUGAGCAAAUUAGAGUGUUCAAAGCAGGCAAUCGAGCCUUGAAUACUUCAGCAUGGGAUAAUGGAACAGGACUGGGGUCCUGAUUUCGUUGGUUUCUGGGAUCUCAGUAAUGAUUAAUAGGGAUAGUUGGGGGCAUUAGUAUUUAAUUGUCAGAGGUGAAAUUCUUGGAUUUAUGAAAGACUAACUUCUGCGAAAGCAUUUGCCAAGGAUGUUUUCAUUAAUCAAGAACGAAAGUUAGGGGAUCGAAGACGAUCAGAUACCGUCGUAGUCUUAACCAUAAACGAUGCCGACCAGCGAUUGGGAGACGUUACAUGGAUGACUCCCCCAGCAGCUUGCGAGAAAUCACAAGUCUUUGGGUUCCGGGGGGAGUAUGGUCGCAAGGCUGAAACUUAAAGGAAUUGACGGAAGGGCACCACCAGGAGUGGAGCCUGCGGCUUAAUUUGACCCAACACGGGGAAACUUACCAGGUCCAGACAUAGUAAGGAUUGACAGAUUUGAGAGCUCUUUCUUGAUUCUAUGGGUGGUGGUGCAUGGCCGUUCUUAGUUGGUGGAGUGAUUUGUCUGGUUAAUUCCGUUAACGAGCGAGACCUUAACCUGCUAAAUAUGUCACUGGUAGACUUCUGCCAAAACAGGUGGGUGUCUAGGGGAAAGUUUCGAUGGACUCCGACGCAUUCAUCUGUGGAUGACUACCAGGAUGUACUUCUUAGAGGGACUAUCUGUAUCAAAGCAGAUGGAAGUUUGAGGCAAUAACAGGUCUGUGAUGCCCUUAGAUGUUCUGGGCCGCACGCGCGCUACACUGACAAGUUCAACGAGUUUAACACCUUGCUCGAUAGGGCUGGGUAAUCUUUGAAAAACUUGUCGUGAUGGGGAUAGAUCAUUGUAAUUAUUGGUCUUCAACGAGGAAUUCCUAGUAAGCGUGAGUCAUCAGCUCGCGUUGAUUACGUCCCUGCCCUUUGUACACACCGCCCGUCGCUCCUACCGAUUGAAUGAUCCGGUGAAAUGUUGGGAGCUGGGGUCUUUUGGCGGCGGGGCAACUCGUCGUCAGGGAUUCUGCAAACUUCAUUAAACCUUAUCAUUUAGA
rnacentral:rRNA from 1 species